AGUUACGAACAUUUUGAGAAGGUACUGAACAAGUCAAUGGUUGUACCUUGUAUUCUACUAAACCAUUAUAGCGCGGCUCCUGUGAAGUUCCUACGAACAUCUUGCAUCUUACCUAUUUUGAGCCACCCAAGAUCAACAUCUUAGCCUGAAAAGCUUUAAGGUUACUAAUCCUAAAAAGAGGCGAUCUUUGGGACCAUCUUAUCUAUUUGCACAUUUUCCAAUCAGAUCCGCACUUCUUCCCUUCGGGAUGCAGGGUUAUUCAGGGUGCAUCGAAGUUCGUCGUUGGCUUUCUACAAUUCUUCAUGAGUCCGCAUUACAUCUUCCAUUAACUGACGAGACUUGUUAGCUUCUUCCCGUAAUUGUUCUGGACUCUUUCAUGGUAGUCAAUAUAUGUUGCAAAGUGGGGUGAGAGUUGCAAUCCGAUAUGGGUUGAUUUAGUGGUCGUGGUAGUGGGUUGUUCAUGUUCAAUGGUGUGUAAAUACUCUAUGAGGGGAUAGUGAAAGUUUCACCAGGGUGCGCCAAUUAUUCUGCCUCUUAUUCUGGCUAGAGAUCUAAUCGAGUUAUAAUCCCUUCCAGACCAAUAAAAAUGCUUUCUAAUUUACCGAACUCUAUUUUUUACUCUCAUUCAAACCUUAUUUAUUCACGUAUUUUGUGUUGGAC
rnacentral:lncRNA from 1 species